GACGAACGCUGGCGGCGUGCCUAAUACAUGCAAGUCGAACGCACAGUUUAUACCGUAGCUUGCUACACCAUAGACUGUGAGUUGCGAACGGGUGAGUAACGCGUAGGUAACCUGCCUGGUAGCGGGGGAUAACUAUUGGAAACGAUAGCUAAUACCGCAUAAUAUUGAUUAUUGCAUGAUAAUUAAUUGAAAGGUGCAAUUGCACCACUACCAGAUGGACCUGCGUUGUAUUAGCUAGUAGGUGAGGUAACGGCUCACCUAGGCGACGAUACAUAGCCGACCUGAGAGGGUGAUCGGCCACACUGGGACUGAGACACGGCCCAGACUCCUACGGGAGGCAGCAGUAGGGAAUCGUCGGCAAUGGACGAAAGUCUGACCGAGCAACGCCGCGUGAGUGAAGAAGGUUUUCGGAUCGUAAAGCUCUGUUGUAAGAGAAGAACGGGUGUGAGAGUGGAAAGUUCACACUGUGACGGUAUCUUACCAGAAAGGGACGGCUAACUACGUG
rnacentral:rRNA from 1 species